rnacentral:rRNA from 1 species
UCCUACGGGGCGCAGCAGUGGGGGAUAUUGCACAAUGGGGGAAACCCUGAUGCAGCGACGCCGCGUGGGCGAAGAAGUAUUUCGGUAUGUAAAGCCCUAUCAGCAGGGAAGAAGAAAUGACGGUACCUGAGUAAGAAGCACCGGCUAAAUACGUGCCAGCAGCCGCGGUAAUACGUAGGGGGCAAGCGUUAUCCGGAUUUACUGGGUGUAAAGGGAGCGUAGACGGCGAUGCAAGCCAGAUGUGAAAGCCCGGGGCUCAACCCCGGGACUGCAUUUGGAACUGUGUGGCUGGAGUGUCGGAGAGG